rnacentral:lncRNA from 1 species
AUGGGCACCGGGCCCCGGCAGCGCCGCGGGAGCUGCUCCCGCACACAGUGCAGUCACCCAGGGCUGGGGGGACGAAGGGGGCUGCCCAGGGUAGCAGCAGGCCAGAGCAAAGGUCUAAUGCAUUUUGGGGGGGGUCUCACCUUCACUGCCCCCCCAUCUCUUCCCUGCAGAGGCCCCAGGGCAGAGCCCAGUGCUGGGGGGGGCGGCCAGCCCCACUUUGGCAGGGUGAGAUCACUGCACGGGGGGCAGCGGAGGUGGGGGGUGCCCGCCCCGGCUCUCUGCCGUGAUCCCCCUUUCCAUGGGGCGGCCCCAAAGCCCAGGGCUGGGGAGGGGGAGCUGGGGCAGGUGCCCCCCCCGGGCGGGGGCUGCGGGGGCCGCCCGGGUUGGGCCAUUUUCCAGUGCUGCCGUUGUUUGAGGGUGAGGAGGGAGCAGAGGAGGGAGGAGGAGGAGGAAGCCAGGGCGGCACAGUGGGUCUCUCCCCACCCCUCUCCCCCGGCCGCUGCGGGGCCGUCGGGCGAUGAGGUAGCGCCGGGUUCGGGAGGUGUCACUGCUCCUCCUCGGAUGACUCCUGGGAAAUGUUCACCUCCUCCUCGUCCUGCUGCUGCAAGGCAAGGGAGGGUGGCCGGGGGGGGUGUCAGGGAGCGCAGCCCCACUCCGCUGCCCCCGCACCAAGGGCUGGCCAGGCACAUCACACCCCUUGUGCAGCGAGGGAAACUGAGGUACAGCCCCGUCCUGGGUUCAAGGAGCGGCCCUGACUCCAGCUUGGAGGUGAAAUCCCAGGUGAGAAAUGAGGAGGGGAGACCACAGCCCCACCAACACCUCUGGAGCCGGGUCCCCAGUGGCCACCGAGGGUGGGGGGGGUGGUGGCAACCACGGCUGUCCGUGUCCAGCCCCGGUGUCCCCGCACAGCCCCCAGCCGGGGCGGGCGGCCGUGACCCCGCACGCGGCGCUGACUCAGGGCUGAGGCAGCCUGAGUCACGCCGGCCCCCGCUUCCUCCCGCUCCAUUCACAAAAACGCCACCGCGCCUGCCAGAGUGGGACAGCGAGUCCUGGCACGGCACAGGCGCCUCCCACAGCCCCCCUGCUCCGGGGGUCCCCACAGAGCCCCCAGCACGGUGA